CCUACGGGUGGCAGCAGUGGGGAAUAUUGGACAAUGGGCGAAAGCCUGAUCCAGCCAUGCCGCGUGUGUGAAGAAGGCCUUCGGGUUGUAAAGCACUUUCAGUGGGGAAGAAAGCCUUGGGGCUAAUACCCUCGAGGAAGGACAUCACCCACAGAAGAAGCACCGGCUAACUCCGUGCCAGCAGCCGCGGUAAUACGGAGGGUGCGAGCGUUAAUCGGAAUUACUGGGCGUAAAGCGCGCGUAGGCGGUCUGAUAAGCCGGUUGUGAAAGCCCCGGGCUCAACCUGGGAACGGCAUCCGGAACUGUCAGGCUAGAGUGCAGGGGAGGAAGGUAGAAUUCCCGGUGUAGCGGUGAAAUGCGUAGAGAUCGGGAGGAAUACCAGUGGCGAAGGCGGCCUUCUGGACUGACACUGACGCUGAGGUGCGAAAGCGUGGGUAGCAAACAGGAUUAGAUACCCUAGUAGUC
rnacentral:rRNA from 1 species